GUAUUACAGGAGAGGACACUAUGCUAAACUACUGAAAUAUUAAAGACACGUCAAGCAAUACAACAGUAUAGCAGUAAAGGACACUAUGAUAUGCUACUAAGAUAUUACAGACAGAACAAGGAAUACAACUUUAUAACAGGGAA